rnacentral:rRNA from 1 species
GACGAACGCUGGCGGCGUGCUUAACACAUGCAAGUCGAACGGAAAGGCCCUGCUUUUGUGGGGUGCUCGAGUGGCGAACGGGUGAGUAACACGUGAGUAACCUGCCCUUGACUUUGGGAUAACUUCAGGAAACUGGGGCUAAUACCGGAUAGGAGCUCCUGCUGCAUGGUGGGGGUUGGAAAGUUUCGGCGGUUGGGGAUGGACUCGCGGCUUAUCAGCUUGUUGGUGGGGUAGUGGCUUACCAAGGCUUUGACGGGUAGCCGGCCUGAGAGGGUGACCGGCCACAUUGGGACUGAGAUACGGCCCAGACUCCUACGGGAGGCAGCAGUGGGGAAUAUUGCAAAAUGGGCGGAAGCCUGAUGCAGCAACGCCGCGUGCGGGAUGACGGCCUUAGGGUUGUAAACCGCUUUCGCCUGUGACGAAGCGUGAGUGACGGUAAUGGGUAAAGAAGCACCGGCUAACUACGUG